rnacentral:lncRNA from 1 species
GUAGAUGUCCCCACUGCUGCCGGCAUUGUUUAUACGUCAUGGUUGGCAUUUGGCCCCUCCUUCCAGGAGACUCCUAAGGAAGUUCAGUUCCUCCGGGACUAUGAUUUCAGCAGCCCGAUGGCUAAAGGGAAGGACACAAGUGUUUCUCCUUAGAGUAGAUUCCCUCCUGCUAGGUGGUUACACCUGCAGAACAAGGAAACUGCAUCUCAAAGUGACCCCUCUAUCCUAAGGGGGCACCAGAUGCUGCUCCAGAUGUGCUGCCUGUAGGCUGCCUGCCUCCUCUCUUCAGGCUUGCUGCCAAAGGCACCUGGCUGGGCUACCUUGUCCAGCUCCCAAGACUUCCAUCACGACUCCCCUCCUAUCUUGGGAAGUCGAAGUCCUGCUCACCUUGAAGACUCCUUGAAGACUUCGGUUUCCCUGGAAGCAUCUACUAGCAUGGAAUGCGUAAACAGGUAACUCACCGCAUGCUUCUUCCCCCUUGUCUUGCAGUUCUAAGAGGGUGAGAACUCUGUGUAUCUGCUUGGAUCCAAAUAAGGAAAA